rnacentral:siRNA from 1 species
AUAAAAGGAUCAAGGAGUGCUCCU